rnacentral:tRNA from 1 species
GUCCUUGUGUGGUACAGUUAACACGUUCAGCUGCUAACUGAAAGGUUGGAGGUUCAAGUCUCCCAGAGGCA